GACGAACGCUGGCGGCGUGCUUAACACAUGCAAGUCGAACGGACAGGCCCUGCUCUUGUGGGGUUCUCGUGUGGCGAACGGGUGAGUAACACGCGAGUAACCUGCCCUUGACUUUGUGGUAACUUCAGGAAACUGGGGCUAAUACCGGAUAGGAGCUCCUGCUGCAUGUUGGGGGUUGGAAAGUUUCGGCGGUUGUGGAUGGACUCGCGGCUUAUCAGCUUGUUGGUGGGGUAGUGGCUUACCAAGGCUUUGACGGGUAGCCGGCCUGAGAGGGUGAACGGGGACAAGGGUACUGAGAUACGCAGCAGAAUGGAAUGGGCGGCAGUAGUGGGGAACAUGGCACAACAAGCGCAAGUGAGAUGCGGCAACCCCGGGUGCGGGAUGACGGGUUUCGGGUGAUAAACAGAUGUCGACUGUGACGAGGAGGGAGUGACGGUAAUGGGUCAGAAAGCAACGGCUAACUACGUG
rnacentral:rRNA from 1 species